CAGUAUCUGGUCCACAGGAUCAUGAAUGGAUGUGUGUUACAGAGUACUAUAUGUUAGAAGUAAGAGAAUUCAUGACACCAUGGAUGCAGUAUGGCAGUGAUUACAUCAUCAAGUGUGUGUCCAUGGGGUUCAAUUCCACCAAACGUUGGUGAAUGAUGGCCCAAUCAGCCUGUACUUCCUUGCUCUCCUGCUGUAAUGUCAUCGACUUCUUCUUUAUAAGAUUCUCCUCCAUCAGGAGCCGGCUGUGCAGGUUACUGUAAGGACACUCUGCAUGAGUCUCCAGUUCCACAUUACUGGAAAGGCCACCUCAGGCCACCCCUACCAGGAAGCUCAACAUCCACUUCCCAGGACUUACUCCACAUUCGCCAAGUCCCCCUCCUUCGUCCUUCAUUCCUCUCAGAUGGAAUGUCAGCAUCCUUCCUCCCCUCUCUGUUCUCUCUCC